rnacentral:rRNA from 2 species
GUCUUUUUGAGUAUAAUUUAAAGUCUAACCUGCCCACUGAAUUUUUAAAUGGCCGCGGUAUUUUGACCGUGCAAAGGUAGCAUAAUCAUUAGUUUUUUAAUUGAAAGCUAGAAUGAAUGGUUGAACGAGGUAAAAUCUGUCUCAAUUUAAUUGGAAUUAGAAUUUUAUUUUUAAGUUAAAAAGCUUAAAUGUUUUUAAAAGACGAGAAGACCCUAUAGAGCUUUAUAAAAUUUUUAUAUUUUGAUAUUUAGAAUUAAUAAUUUUUUAUUAAAAAUUUUAUUUUAUUGGGGUGAUAAGAAGAUUUAAUAAACUCUUUUUAUUUUUAUUCAUUGAUUUAUGAAUUAUUGAUCCAGUAUUAUUGAUUAAAAGAUUAAGUUACCUUAGGGAUAACAGCGUAAUUUUUUUAGAGAGUUCUUAUCGAUAAAAAAGAUUGCGACCUCGAUGUUGGAUUAAAGAUAAAUUUAGGUGUAGAAGCUUAAAAGUUUAGGUCUGUUCGACCUUUAAAUCUUUACA